rnacentral:rRNA from 1 species
AAACUGAAGAGUUUGAUCCUGGCUCAGAUUGAACGCUGGCGGCAUGCUUUACACAUGCAAGUCGAACGGCAGCGCGGGGCAACCUGGCGGCGAGUGGCGAACGGGUGAGUAAUACAUCGGAACGUACCCAGAAGUGGGGGAUAACGUAGCGAAAGUUACGCUAAUACCGCAUACGUUCUACGGAAGAAAGUGGGGGACCUUCGGGCCUCAUGCUUUUGGAGCGGCCGAUGUCUGAUUAGCUAGUUGGUGAGGUAAAGGCUCACCAAGGCGACGAUCAGUAGCUGGUCUGAGAGGACGACCAGCCACACUGGGACUGAGACACGGCCCAGACUCCUACGGGAGGCAGCAGUGGGGAAUUUUGGACAAUGGGCGCAAGCCUGAUCCAGCAAUGCCGCGUGAGUGAAGAAGGCCUUCGGGUUGUAAAGCUCUUUUGUCAGGGAAGAAACGG